GAGGAAAGCAUGAGGGAACUGGACAGGAAAGGGCAGGAAAGGACUGCCUAAGACACCUCAGCAUUUUUCCUGGAGCCAGCCUUGGGUAAAGACCAAGGCAUGGGAGAUAGCCACUGAAAAUGCCCAGGACUGGGAGGUGGAGUAUGAUGCUUGAAGAGCAGCAAGGAGGGGCCAGUGAGUGUCACUGGAUUGAAGAGUAUAAGGAAAUAACUAAUGUGUGUGUAUACUGGCUAGGUAAUAAAGGGCCCAGGAAGCCAAGCAGACAAUUUUCUAUUGGAUUACAGAAGUGCCAGGGAAACACUGGAGUUUAUUGAGUGAUAGAGUGCUAGGGUCAGACCUGUGCUUUAGAAAGAUCACUCUGACAACCAAGUAGAGAAUGGACUGGAGUGGGGAGAGACUGUAAGCAGGCAGAGCCCCCACCCCCUCACCCCUGAUUGAAGAGCUGAGGAUCCAUCUCAGAAGGCUGGCAGUGUCAGAGGAGAGAAGGGAGCCUUUAGGAAAGAUGUUGAGAGUAUAGAAUUUCAAGGAUUGGCAACACAUUGGAUACGAGGGGUGAGAGAGUGAGGAGUAGAAGAUGGCACCUGGAUUGUGAGCCUGGAUUCGAUUGUGAGCUACUAGAGGGCAGGACUGUCUUUUGCCUUUUUUUAAGUAGCAUCCCCAGCACUUAGCACAGUGCCUGGGCACAUAGUAAAUGCUUAUUAAAUGUUUGCCAACUGACUGGGAUGAUGGUGGUGCCCUCGACAAUAAUAGGGAAGAGAGGAUGGUUUGGGGGGAGGGGAGGUGCAGAUAAUGAACUCAGUUUUGGAUAUUAUUGAGUUUAAGGUAUCCAUGAGAAUUCAAUUUGAGAUGUCUAGUAGAGAGAGAUGUGAAACUAGAGCUCAAGAAAGAGUUCAGCAGCAAGAAGAGUUAGCAUCGAUAUGAUUAUUCAGUCCCAUGGCAGCUGAUGAGGUCACUUUAGGGAGAACAGAAAAGGGACCAGAAAAGAGCUCUGGGAGACCCACUAUUAGCAGAAGUAACCUGGAUAUAGAUCCAGCAAAAGAGACUAAGGAGGUAUCAGACAAGUAGAAUGAGACCCAGGAGAGAGCAGUGUCAUGAAAAAUGAGAAUAGAAAGUAUCAAGGAGAAGACAGUGAUCAACAGUGUAAAAGGCUGCAGAGAGGUCAAAAAGGGUGAGGAUUAAGAAAAGGCCAUUAGAUUUGGCAAUGAAGAGAUUAUUGAUAAUUUUGGAAAGAGUGACUUCAGUAGAAUGAUCAGGUUGGAAGCUGGACAGCAGAAAGUUAAGAGAAUAAAAGACUGUGGAGACACCAAUUAUAGACUUCCCAAGGAGUUUAGCUAUGAAAGGGAGAGGAAAGAGAGGAUGAAACCUAGAAGUGAUGGAGGGAUCAAGCAAGGGCUUUUGGAGAAAAGAUGUGAGCAUUUUUAUAGGCUGUAGAGAAGUAUCCAGUAGACAGGGAGAGACUGAAGAUAAAUGAGACAGUAGGGAUGAUAAAGGAGCAGUCUGCUGGAGAAGACAGAAUGUAUAUGCAGAUGGGUUUCUCUUGGCAUGGAGACUGGCCACGUCUUCUUGAAAAAAGUGAAGGAGAUAGUAGCAGAAGGCAUCUAAGUGAUAAGACACGAAGCAGGAGAAGACGAAGCUCUCACUGAAUGGCCUCAAAUGUUUCAGUGAAAUAUCAAGUCAGCUCCCCAGCUGAGAUGGUGGGGAAAGAAGGAGCCAUGAGGAGUCUGAUGGAUGAAAAGAUUUGGAAAAAUUGCUCUGGCAUCCUGACCUCCUGAAGCUAAUUUUGGAUUUAACACAGGACCUGCACUUACCUGUUGAAACCUCUCUCUUCCUUUGAGGAUGACCUUUGGUUCCACCUCCUCCAUGAUGCCAUCUCUGGACACAACCAGUGCCCCACCAGCUGAAUUCAACCUCUUUGUCUCACUAAAGCAUUCUGAUUCGGAGCCUACUGGUCAGCGCUGUAGGAUACAGAAUCGAAGACAACCUUAGGCAUCCCUCAUUUUACAAAGAAGGAAACUGAGGCCCAAAUGGAAGACUAGAGAGAAUUGUAAAAGCCAGAAUGGGGUAUGGUGAAAGUGGUAAAGCAUGGAAGUGCACGGUCCCUGAUUAUACACUGUGCUGCACACACACUGUCUCUCCCACCAGGCGUAACAAUCCACAAGUCUCUUUGCAGCUUCUCAAGGACAAGUGGGAAAGAGGGGGAAGAGCCUAGUAAUUAUCUUGUAGAAGGAAACAAAAUUGGCUCUUGGUUUCCAGGGCAGUGAGAGCCCAGUGGAGGUGGAGGCAGAGAGUGGUGUCAGGGGUUGGUAAGCAUGGAUGUAGCAACACCUCCACACCCCAGAGGCCCUAUUUCAAGAUGUGCUUCACCAACUACACAGGGAAAUGUGUUCCCCUCCAAGCGCAAGAUUGCUGAUAAAACAAGUAAAAGACGACACUCAGAUUACAGGGAAGAAAAUUCAGGACAUUCAACUGAACUUAAAAAACAUUUACUAAGCGGCACCUAUUAUAGCAUUAGGGAAACAAGGUUGAAAAACACAUUUUUUUUUUUUGCCUGCAAGGCAAAGGACUACAAGAACUGUACUAUUAUGGAGCAAAGACCCCCUCAAAAGACUAGGGUACAAGCAGAUGUGGUCUCAAAAUGCCAUAAGAAAUUGAGAACAGCAAGGAGGGGAUCAGGAGAGGUUUCAUCAAGGAGAGGAGCCUGAAGGGAGAGGGAAGGCUGAGCUGAUGGGGGCAGGGGACACCCUAAAUGAAUACGUACACGGAGGUGGGGCCCAUCAUAGCUGGAGCAGUGGGUGAGGAGGGGAGUCGAAAGAAACAAGGCCAGGAAGGCCCACUAGAGGCAGCCUCUAGGGGGCCUCAAACACAAGGCUGGCAGCUUGUGUCUCACCCUGGAUGGGCCGUGGAGCCAACUAAAGGUUUUUGAAGAAGGGAACAACGUGAUCAGACCUAUAUUGAUGCCAAGAGGAUUUUACAAGCCAUGCAAAUGGAGGAAGGGACAGUCACUGGGGGCCUUUUAUAACAGGCCAGGCAAGGGGCAAUGACGGCCAGAUCUGGGAUGGGAGGCAGGGGGCGGAGGUAUGAGUGAGAAAAGAGCAGAUGGCCAGACAGGAGUGUCAGGGCUUAACGACUGACUGAGCUGGGAGUGGGAGGGGGGAAAGGGAAAAGUCAAGGAUUAAUCUGAAGUUAUGAACCUGGGUCACUGAGGGAUGAUGCAGCUGCCAACAAAAAGAAGGAAAUUGGAAGUGGCAGAUUUGGCAGGGAGCAGAUGACCAAUGGAGUUGACGGGUUUGACAUACCAGUGGCACCGCUGAGUCACCUGGAAAGUCAGGAUUGGAGCUGGGGAGAGACUGGUGCUGGAGUCAUGUGCAAAGAAAGGAUGUUGCAAACAUCCUUCGCCCUUGAAUCAAAGGUGCAACCACCAAGCCGCAGAAACCCCAGCGGAGCUGCACGAAGGAUGUCGGUGACUCCCUCCUUCCAAGACGAGCACUUUGUUUUCAACCAAGGAAGAAGUCCCUCCAGAAGCCCAGACCACAUCACGGGCCCCAUCUCACUACUGUAGUUCCUGCACACCUCCAUUUCGCACAUUCCACCGUGGUGGCUGCAAACCAUCCUCAGUCUCACUGCGCAAUCUCCCUCAGCCCAUGUCUGUUCUCACCCUUGUUCAUCAUGGGGGAAGUGCUUAUUUCCUCUUCUCCUUUAUCCUCAUUUCUCACUUGGCCAUUCUUCCUUAUUUGAGGAAAAGGAGACAGGAAAUCACAAGGCAAUUUAAGCUGUUACCCCCACACCACCAUGACCACCACCCCUGUCCAUCUGUCUUUUUGUAUCGUUCCUUUUUUUUAUUCUAAAUUUAACAACCACCUAAUAAAACAAGUGUGUCCAAACACAUCGGAGAAGAAAAAAACUGCAGAGGAAACUGCACAUCUCUCUUAUGUACGUACAACAGGCUUUUCUGUUUGAGUACAAUAAAUUCAGUGUCUAGAUCUGA